rnacentral:rRNA from 1 species
AGGAGAGUUUGAUCCUGGCUCAGGAUGAACGCUAGCUACAGGCUUAACACAUGCAAGUCGAGGGGCAGCAUUGGGAUAGCUUGCUAUUCCAGAUGGCGACCGGCGCACGGGUGCGUAACACGUAUCCAAUCUACCCAUGGCUCGGGAAUAGCCUUUCGAAAGAAAGAUUAAUGCCCGAUGGUCUCGAUUUAAGACAUCUUUUAUCGAGUAAAGAUUUAUCGGCGAUGGAUGAGGAUGCGUCUGAUUAGGUAGUAGGCGGGGUAACGGCCCACCUAGCCGACGAUCAGUAGGGGUUCUGAGAGGAAGGUCCCCCACAUUGGAACUGAGACACGGUCCAAACUCCUACGGGAGGCAGCAGUGAGGAAUAUUGGUCAAUGGUCGAGAGACUGAACCAGCCAAGUAGCGUGAAGGAUGACUGCCCUAUGGGUUGUAAACUUCUUUUGUUAGGGAAUAAAGUGAGGCACGUGUGCCUUUUUGUAUGUACCUUACGAAUAAGCAUCGGCUAAUUCCGUGCCAGCAGCCGCGGUAAUACGGAAGAUGCGAGCGUUAUCCGGAUUUAUUGGGUUUAAAGGGAGCGUAGGCGGGCCUUUAAGCCAGCGGUCAAAUGUCAUGGCCCAACCUUGGCAUGCCGUUGGAACUGGGGGUCUUGAAUACACACAAGGAUGGUGGAAUUCGUCGUGUAGCGGUGAAAUGCUUAGAUAUGACGAAGAACUCCGAUUGCGAAGGCAGCCAUCUGGGGUGCGAUUGACGCUGAGGCUCGAAAGUGCGGGUAUCAAACAGGAUUAGAUACCCUGGUAGUCCCCU